CUGCGGCAGCGACGCUGAUGCGUUGUUGGGUAGGGGAGCGUUCUGUAAGCCUGUGAAGGUGGCCUGUGAGGGUUGCUGGAGGUAUCAGAAGUGCGAAUGCUGACAUAAGUAACGAUAAAGCGGGUGAAAAGCCCGCUCGCCGGAAGACCAAGGGUUCCUGUCCAACGUUAAUCGGGGCAGGGUGAGUCGACCCCUAAGGCGAGGCCGAAAGGCGUAGUCGAUGGGAAACGGGUUAAUAUUCCCGUACUUGGUGUUACUGCGAAGGGGGGACGGAGAAGGCUAUGUUGGCCGGGCGACGGUUGUCCCGGUUUAAGCGUGUAGGUGUGUGUUCCAGGUAAAUCCGGUUCACUUUAACACUGAGGCGUGAUGACGAGGCACUACGGUGCUGAAGCAACAAAUGCCCUGCUUCCAGGAAAAGCCUCUAAGCAUCAGGUAACAUCAAAUCGUACCCCAAACCGACACAGGUGGUCAGGUAGAGAAUACCAAGGCGCUUGAGAGAACUCGGGUGAAGGAACUAGGCAAAAUGGUGCCGUAACUUCGGGAGAAGGCACGCUGACACGUAGGUGAAGUGAUUUACUCAUGGAGCUGAAGUCAGUCGAAGAUACCAGCUGGCUGCAACUGUUUAUUAAAAACACAGCACUGUGCAAACACGAAAGUGGACGUAUACGGUGUGACGCCUGCCCGGUGCCGGAAGGUUAAUUGAUGGGGUCAGCGCAAGCGAAGCUCCUGAUCGAAGCCCCGGUAAACGGCGGCCGUAACUAUAACGGUCCUAAGGUAGCGAAAUUCCUUGUCGGGUAAGUUCCGACCUGCACGAAUGGCGUAAUGAUGGCCAGGCUGUCUCCACCCGAGACUCAGUGAAAUUGAACUCGCUGUGAAGAUGCAGUGUACCCGCGGCAAGACGGAAAGACCCCGUGAACCUUUACUAUAGCUUGACACUGAACAUUGAGCCUUGAUGUGUAGGAUAGGUGGGAGGCUUUGAAGUGUGGACGCCAGUCUGCAUGGAGCCGGCCUUGAAAUACCACCCUUUAAUGUUUGAUGUUCUAACGUGGACCCGUGAUCCGGGUUGCGGACAGUGUCUGGUGGGUAGUUUGACUGGGGCGGUCUCCUCCUAAAGAGUAACGGAGGAGCACGAAGGUUGGCUAAUCCUGGUCGGACAUCAGGAGGUUAGUGCAAUGGCAUAAGCCAGCUUGACUGCGAGCGUGACGGCGCGAGCAGGUGCGAAAGCAGGUCAUAGUGAUCCGGUGGUUCUGAAUGGAAGGGCCAUCGCUCAACGGAUAAAAGGUACUCCGGGGAUAACAGGCUGAUACCGCCCAAGAGUUCAUAUCGACGGCGGUGUUUGGCACCUCGAUGUCGGCUCAUCACAUCCUGGGGCUGAAGUAGGUCCCAAGGGUAUGGCUGUUCGCCAUUUAAAGUGGUACGCGAGCUGGGUUUAGAACGUCGUGAGACAGUUCGGUCCCUAUCUGCCGUGGGCGCUGGAGAACUGAGGGGGGCUGCUCCUAGUACGAGAGGACCGGAGUGGACGCAUCACUGGUGUUCGGGUUGUCAUGCCAAUGGCACUGCCCGGUAGCUAAAUGCGGAAGAGAUAAGUGCUGAAAGCAUCUAAGCACGAAACUUGCCCCGAGAUGAGUUCUCCCUGAGACUUUAGGUCUCCUGAAGGAACGUUGAAGACGACGACGUUGAUAGGCCGGGUGUGUAAGCGCAGCGAUGCGUUGAGCUAACCGGUACUAAUGAACCGUGAGGCUUAACCUUACA
rnacentral:rRNA from 1 species